rnacentral:rRNA from 1 species
UACGGGAGGCAGCAGUGGGGAAUAUUGCACAAUGGGCGAAAGCCUGAUGCAGCUAUGCCGCGUGUAUGAAGAAGGCCUUAGGGUUGUAAAGUACUUUCAUCGGGGAGGAAAAACAAAACUAAUAAUUUUAUUUCUUGACGUUACCCGAAAAAGAAGCACCGGCUAACUCCGUGCCAGCAGCCGCGGUAAUACGGAGAGUGCUAGCGUUAAUCAGAAUUACUGGGCGUAAAGAGCACGUAGGUGGUUUUUUUAAGUCAGAUGUGAAAUCCCUGGGCUUAACCUAGGAACUGCAUUUUGAAACUGAAAUACUAGAGUAUCGUAGAGGGAGGUAGAAUUCUAGGUGUAGCGGUGAAAUGCGUAGAUAUCUGGAGGAAUACCUGUGGCGAAAGCGGCCUCCUAAACGAAUACUGACACUGAGGUGCGAAAGCGUGGGGAGCAAACAGGGAUUAGAUACC